rnacentral:rRNA from 1 species
GACGAACGCUGGCGGCGUGCUUAACACAUGCAAGUCGAGCGGAAAGGCCCUGCUUUUGUGGGGUGCUCGAGUGGCGAACGGGUGAGUAACACGUGAGUAACCUGCCCUUGACUUUGGGAUAACUUCAGGAAACUGGGGCUAAUACCGGAUAGGAGCUCCUGCUGCAUGGUGGGGGUUGGAAAGUUUCGGCGGUUGGGGAUGGACUCGCGGCUUAUCAGCUUGUUGGUGGGGUAGUGGCUUACCAAGGCUUUGACGGGUAGCCGGCCUGAGAGGGUGACCGGCCACAUUGGGACUGAGAUACGGCCCAGACUCCUACGGGAGGCAGCAGUGGGGAAUAUUGCACAAUGGGCGGAAGCCUGAUGCAGCAACGCCGCGUGCGGGACGACGGCCUUCGGGUUGUAAACCGCUUUCGCCUGUGACGAAGCGUGAGUGACGGUAAUGGGUAAAGAAGCACCGGCUAACUACGUG